rnacentral:rRNA from 1 species
AUUGAACGCUGGCGGCAUGCUUUACACAUGCAAGUCGAACGGUAACAGGCCUUCGGGUGCUGACGAGUGGCGAACGGGUGAGUAAUGCAUCGGAACGUGCCCAGAGGUGGGGGAUAACGCAGCGAAAGCUGUGCUAAUACCGCAUGUGAUCUGAGGAUGAAAGCGGGGGACCAGGCAGCAAUGUUUGGCCUCGCGCCUUUGGAGCGGCCGAUGUCAGAUUAGGUAGUUGGUGGGGUAAAGGCCUACCAAGCCGACGAUCUGUAGCUGGUCUGAGAGGACGACCAGCCACACUGGGACUGAGACACGGCCCAGACUCCUACGGGAGGCAGCAGUGGGGAAUUUUGGACAAUGGGCGCAAGCCUGAUCCAGCAAUGCCGCGUGCGGGAAGAAGGCCUUCGGGUUGUAAAACGCUUUUGUACGGAACGAAAAGGCUCUGGCUAAUACCUGGGGCUGAUGACGGUACCGGAAGAAUAAGCACCGGCUAACUACGUG